GAUGAAGAACGUAGCGAAUUGCGAUAUGUAAUGUGAAUUGCAGAUUUUCAGUGAAUCAUCGAAUCUUUGAACGCACAUGGCGCCUUCCAGUAUCCUGGGAGGCAUGCCUGUCCGAGCGUCGUUUCAACCCUCGAGCCCCCGUGGCCCGGCGUUGGGGAUCUGCCACGGCAGGCCCCUAAAACCAGUGGCGGACCCGAAGGCCCUCUCCUUUGCGCAGUAGCAUCAGCCUCGCAUUGGGAUCCCUCGGCGUCCUGCCUCUAAACCCCCCACAAGUCCGCUCCGGCGGCACCAAGGUUGACCUCGGAUCAGGUAGGAAUACCCGCUGAACUUAAGCAUAUCAAUAAGCGGAGGA
rnacentral:misc_RNA from 1 species